GAUGAACGCUGGCGGCGUGCCUAAUACAUGCAAGUCGAGCGAACGGACGAGAAGCUUGCUUCUCUGAUGUUAGCGGCGGACGGGCGAGUAACACGUGGAUAACCUACCUAUAAGACUGGGAUAACUUCGGGAAACCGGAGCCAAUACCGGAUAAUAUUUUGAACCGCAUGGUUCAAAAGUGAAAGACGGUCUUGCUGUCACUUAUAGAUGGAUCCGCGCUGCAUUAGCUAGUUGGUAAGGUAACGGCUUACCAAGGCAACGAUGCAUAGCCGACCUGAGAGGGUGAUCGGCCACACUGGAACUGAGACACGGUCCAGACUCCUACGGGAGGCAGCAGUAGGGAAUCUUCCGCAAUGGGCGAAAGCCUGACGGAGCAACGCCGCGUGAGUGAUGAAGGUCUUCGGAUCGUAAAACUCUGUUAUUAGGGAAGAACAUAUGUGUAAGUAACUGUGCACAUCUUGACGGUACCUAAUCAGAAAGCCACGGCUAACUACGUG
rnacentral:rRNA from 1 species